rnacentral:ncRNA from 1 species
AAACCCCUACGCGUAAUGAAAGUGAACGCAGGUGAGAGCUUCGGCGCAUCAUCGACCGAUCCUGAUGUUCUCGGAUGGAUUUGAGUAAGAGCAUAUAGGGUUGGACCCGAAAGAAGGUGAACUAUGCGUGUAUAGGGUGAAGCCAGAGGAAACUCUGGUGGAGGCUCGCAGCGGUUCUGACGUGCAAAUCGAUCGUCAAAUAUGCGCAUGGGGGCGAAAGACUAAUCGAACCUUCUAGUAGCUGGUUUCCGCCGAAGUUUCCCUCAGGAUAGCAGUGUUGAACUCAGUUUUAUGAGGUAAAGCGAAUGAUUAGGGACUCGGGGGCGCUAUAUUGCCUUCAUCCAUUCUCAAACUUUAAAUAUGUAAGAAGCCCUUGUUACUUAAUUGAACGUGGGCAUUCGAAUGUAUCAACACUAGUGGGCCAUUUUUGGUAAGCAGAACUGGCGAUGCGGGAUGAACCGAACGCGAGGUUAAGGUGCCAGAGUAGACGCUCAUCAGACACCACAAAAGGUGUUAGUACAUCUUGACAGCAGGACGGUGGCCAUGGAAGUCGGAAUCCGCUAAGGACUGUGUAACAACUCACCUGCCGAAUGUACUAGCCCUGAAAAUGGAUGGCGCUCAAGCGUCUCACCCAUACCUCGCCCUCAGUGUAGAAACGAUGCGCUGAGGAGUAGGCGGACGUGGAGGUCAGUGACGAAGCCUAGGGCGUGAGCCCGGGUAGAACGGCCUCUAGUGCAGAUCUUGGUGGUAGUAGCAAAUACUUCAAUGAGAACUUGAAGGACCGAAGUGGGGAAAGGUUCCAUGUGAACAGCGGUUGGACAUGGGUUAGUCGAUCCUAAGCCAUAGGGAAGUUCCGUUUCAAAGGGGCACUUGUGCCCCGUAUGGCGAAAGGGAAGCCGGUCAAUAUUCCGGCACCUGGAUGUGGGUUUUGCGCGGCAACGCAACUGAACGCGGAGACGACGGCGGGGGCCCCGGGCAGAGUUCUCUUUUCUUCUUAACGGUCUAUCACCCUGAAAUCGGUUUGUCCGGAGCUAGGGUUUAACGGCCGGAAGAGCCCAGCACUUCUGUUGGGUCCGGUGCGCUCUCGACGUCCCUUGAAAAUCCGCGGGAAGGAAUAAUUCUCACGCCAGGUCGUACUCAUAACCGCAGCAGGUCUCCAAGGUGAACAGCCUCUGGUUGAUAGAACAAUGUAGAUAAGGGAAGUCGGCAAAACAGAUCCGUAACUUCGGGAUAAGGAUUGGCUCUAAGGGUUGGGUACGUUGGGCUUUGGGCGGACGGCUCGGGAGCAGGUCGCCACUAGCCGGG